AUUGAACGCUGGCGGCAGGCCUAACACAUGCAAGUCGAACGAGUGGCGGACGGGUGAGUAAUGUCUGGGAAACUGCCCGAUGGAGGGGGAUAACUACUGGAACCGGUAGCUAAUACCGCAUACCAUCUGAUGUGCCCAGAUGGGAUUAGCUUGUAGGUGGGGUAACGGCUAACCUAGGCGCCGAUCCCUAGCUGGUCUGAGAGGAUGACAAGCAACACUGGAACUGAGACACGGUCCAGAAUCCUACGGGAGGCAGCAGGGGGGAAUAUUGAACAAUGGGCGCAAGCCUGAUGCAGCCAUGCCGCGUGUAUGAAGAAGGCCUUCGGGUUGUAAAGUACUUUAAGCGAGGAGGCGGUACUCGCAGAAGAAGCACCGGCUAACUCCGUGCCAGCAGCCGCGGUAAUAC
rnacentral:rRNA from 1 species